rnacentral:lncRNA from 1 species
CUGAUUUUUACAACUUUUCUCUGAUAGAACAUCAUAGGUUAAGAAAGAUUACCAGGAGAGACGAGCAUCCAUUUGGCGACUGAUCAAGGUAUCAAGCCAAAUUGGAAAGGAGCCGAAUAAGACUUCAAACCUAGCCUCCUUCAGCUACUGAAAACUGACCUCUUCUUUGCUUCUUUUGUUCUUCCCUAAUGAAGCAGAAGAUCAUAAUAAAACAAAAGAAUACACUAUAUCACUGGACUGAACAAGCCAUUCAAUAAGCUUAUCUCCCAACUCAGUUGUCAAAGAAGAAAAACAAAUAAUUUUCAGAUUGUUUCACAUUAUAUUCUUAACAAGAAUUGUAAAAGAUAAAACUUAAACUCCAGUUGACAAAAAUGGAAAAAUACAAUGAGAAUAAUAAAUGGAAGAGGACAAUAACAGUAAUAAUGUCAAUUGUCCUCAGAUAUGAAUUUCAUGAUAUCACCAUGAAAACUGGAAUUCAACGGCCUAUUUUUUCUUAUUACAUAUUUCCUCCCCAAUUCUAUACUAUACUCACUCAAACCCUCCUUCCCACAUUUAUUCCACAUGGCCUCACCAAAUCUCCGAUGCGCAAAGUAUGCAUCCACUUCCACCGCCACCACCUUAUCUCUUCCGUCCCCGGCCGUCACCUCCACAGGCAGCCUCUCGUAAUGUCCAUCAUCAACUCUCUCCAGCUCGUCCAGCCGAGCCAGGCCCCGAUUCGACGACAC